CACCGCGGUUAGACGAGAGGCUCAAGCUGAUAAACAGCGGCGUAAAGAGUGGUUAAGGGACACUCACAACUAAAGCCAAACACCCCCCCAAGCCGUUGUACGCCUCCGGAGGUAGGAAGCCCCACCACGAAGGUGGCUUUAAUUCUCCUGACCCCACGAAAGCUAUGGCA
rnacentral:rRNA from 1 species